AUUAUUAAUAUUAUUAAUAUUUACUUUAUUGGAAUGUGAUGGAAUGUAAUGACUUUUGUGGCACUUGCCAUGUGAAAACAAAUAACUUGUAUGAUUAGAAAAAAACUAAAUGGUUGUAAAAAUUGUCACACUUGUUCUGCUCACAGUCAGAAUUGGCCAUCAUAACAUAAAUAAAUAAAUAAAAAUAAAAUAACAAAAGGAAAUACAAAAUCUACAAAUCAGCCACAGUAUAUCCUACUAAACUAAAAUUUUACAAGUAUUUCUGAAAACACUGUUCUCAGCAAUAGGGAAUAUAUACAUAUACUGCAGGCAUCCAGUGGCUACACCAUGUUAUUACAAAUUAUUUUAUUUAUUUAUUUCCUUCAGUUUGCACUUUUAUCUGUUUCCAUUUGUUGGAUUUUACAUUAGUUCGUUGUAUUACCUAAAUACUGCAAUAACUAUAUAUAUAUAUAUAUAUGAAAUAGACUAAAUGUUAAAUCAUUUGAAGGUGGAUAGUUUACCCUGAAACUUUAAAGCAAACAUUAAAAAUAUUAUUGAACUAAAUAUGACUCAACACAUUGAUUUCAUUAAAAAUACGCUAAUUAUAACAAUCCGUACAAGAGUAAUAUUUAAAAAAAAAAAUAUUUCCCUAAUGAAAUAAGUUUAAAUUAUUCAGAAAUAAUUGUUCAGCUGUCGUCAAGAAGAAGAAAAUGCAUGAGGGCUGGCGUCCUCGCGCUCCUGCUGUUUUCUCGCGCGCGUGCCUGGGAGAGCGAUUUCAAAUACAAAGAAGUAACGGCUGCUUUCCUCAAAGAAACAACCGCUGCGCGAGAACAUCCAGUAUACACGAGUUCUCUUAAAAUCUCAAAGGGUUCACAGAGCACCACUAUCAGUUAAUGAAGAAAUGUGUUCUGCGUGUGUUUCAUGAAUAUGGCUCUGUAGUGGACACCUCAGAUGUGAGGCAGUGAGUUGCUGAUGUCUGUUGCUGUCUGUACCAAAAACAAAAAAAACAAAGACCUACCCAUCUUUUCAAGAAAUCCUAGCCUUGCCCUACCUGUUACUUGAUGAUCCUGCUGUGCUGGACUGUAUAUAAUAAAUGAGGUAAGUCUGAGUUUGUGCAUGUGUGUAUACAUACAUAGUGUACACACACACACACACAUUACAUAUGCUGUGUGUGUUAUUGUAAUAGACAUUGUGCAUUUAAUUAGUCCACAACCAUUGAUCAAUGCACUAAUAUGACAAAAAAAUGCCUGUGGUUGUGUUACUCGUUUUUAAGAUACUUUGAAAAAGGCCUGUGCUAAAUGAAUAAAUGUAAAUAUUUUUUUAUUUAAUUUUAGGUAAAUCUUUAUUUUUUUUCCUUUGAUUGAAAGUUGUGAAAAUGCUAUCGUAGAGUUUUUCUUUUGCUAUUUGAGCAAAUGAGAAUGCAAAAAAUAUAUAUUUGUGGUACUCUCCCAUUCAUUGCUCUCGAAGUUUACCCAACUAUGACAACUUCCGCUGCUGAGUAACCCGGAAAUGUGAAAAAGGUUAAUUAACCUACAUACAGCUAUCUCGAGGCUUACCAAUUUCUUAAAAUGUUGUGUGUGAAUUCUCCCAAUCAGUGACCUCCAUUUAGAAUAGGAAAGAAAAUAUUACUAUUGAUUGCACUGUACAUCAAAUUUUAAUUAAAUUUUUAAUUGAAUUUAUUAAUUUAAAUUGUAUUUUUUUUAGGUACAUGAAAUGUUUUUUAAAGUUCUAAGAUAUUUGAGUCACAUUUAUUUGUUUACAGUUUGUU